rnacentral:rRNA from 1 species
AAGCCUGCUGCAGCGACGCCGCGUGAGGGAUGACGGCCUUCGGGUUGUAAACCUCUUUCAGUAGGGAAGAAGCGAAAGUGACGGUACCUGCAGAAGAAGCGCCGGCUAACUACGUGCCAGCAGCCGCGGUAAUACGUAGGGCGCAAGCGUUAUCCGGAAUUAUUGGGCGUAAAGAGCUCGUAGGCGGUUUGUCGCGUCUGCCGUGAAAGUCCGGGGCUCAACUCCGGAUCUGCGGUGGGUACGGGCAGACUAGAAUGAUGUAGGGGAGACUGGAAUUCCUGGUGUAGCGGUGAAAUGCGCAGAUAUCAGGAGGAACACCGAUGGCGAAGGCAGGUCUCUGGGCAUUAACUGACGCUGAGGAGCGAAAGCAUGGGGAGCGAACAGGAUUAGAUACCCUGGUAGUCCAUGCCGUAAACGUUGGGCACUAGGUGUGGGGGACAUUCCACGUUUUCCGCGCCGUAGCUAACGCAUUAAGUGCCCCGCCUGGGGAGUACGGCAG